GGCUUAGCGUUCUUUGCAAAUGGAUGUUGAAAAUCUCAUUUGGUGAAAGAACAGAUUUUUUCUUCAUGGUACUGCAGCCUCUGAAUCCAGACUCCAUCUGUUCACCACUUGUUGGGCCUGCAAGGAUGUGCAGACACCCUCCAUGUUGACAUGGGUGGCCACCUCCCAAAGAGCAAGAAAUAAACCCGCUUUCAUUAACUGCUGGCAUUUAUGAGGACCUUAUAAUAAAAUUAGCUUUUUUUUUUAAAGUGGCAGUUUAGAAUAAUAGCAACCUUGUCGAGAAAAAUGGCAGUCGCGUUACUUGGGUAACAUGUGGUCUCAGGAGCCGGAGGCGGAGGAACACCUAGGAGGGGUCUCAUCUCAUAGAUACGAUCGACCGCGCCGGAGGGGCCAGUGAGGACAAUCUGUGCCUGCCAGACUCUGACCUGUGACAUGGGACCUCACCUUCCAAUGUGCUGGCAGAGAAUGGAGAAGCAAAGACACCAAAUGGGGAAGCAGAUCGUCCUUCAACCUUGAGGACAGAAAGCUGCACCUUGUCAAUGUUUAGAGGAAAUGUAUCCCAACAGGGUGCUCGUCUUUCAGAACAGAACACCAGAGAACUAAAGGGGAAGAGUUAAAACAGAACUGCAUCUUCUCUUAGCCAAAGGCUCAUUAGUAGCAUAUGUGGGGACAAAGGAUGGGGAUGUUCUGGAAGCAAGGACAAUAGGGCUUCAUUCAUUUAUCAAACACCUACCAAAUGCUAAGCACCAGGGGCAUCCAUUGUCUCACUGAAUCCUCCCAAAGGUAGAUGUCCUCAUUCCAAUUUACAGGUAGGAAUGUGAAGUGUAUCAAGAUGAAGCAAUCUCCCAACUGAAGACAGAUUUUAGAACAGGACUAGUUUCUAAGCCACGUUUUUCUGCCAUAUACAUUGCAUAUUGCACAGAGCCUUACAAAAGUACAGGGGAAAAGAUCUAGAGGGGGAAAAAGGGUGUCUUUGAAAAUGUUCUGUAAAUUCCCCAUAAUGAAAACAAUGAGAGCCGCAACUGCCUCGCUACAUACACAUGACUUCAUUCCGUCUUCCCAACUGCCCUGUCAGAUGGUAUUCUGAUUCUUGACGUCACA